CCUUGAGCUCACUUUGUAGCCCAGGCUGGCCUUGAACUCACAGUGAUCCUCCUGCCUCAGCCUACUGAGUGCUGGGAU
rnacentral:miRNA from 1 species